rnacentral:tRNA from 1 species
GUUUCUGUAGUUGAAGGCUACAACGGCAGUUUUUCAGACUGCAGCUCUUGGAGAAAAGCCAAGCAGAAAUU